rnacentral:rRNA from 1 species
UACGGGGGGGGUAAGCGUUGUUCGGAAUUACUGGGCGUAAAGGGCUCGUAGGCGGCCAACUAAGUCAGACGUGAAAUCCCUCAGCUCAACUCUGGAACUGCCUCUGAUACUGGCGACCUAGAGUCCGGAAGAGGUUAGUGGAAUUCCCAGUGUAGAGGUGAAAUUCGUAGAUAUUGGGAAGAACACCAGUGGCGAAGGCGGCUAACUGGUCCGGUACUGACGCUGAGGUGCGAAAGCGUGGGGAGCAAACAGG